AUUGAACGCUGGCGGCAGGCCUAACACAUGCAAGUCGAACGAGUGGCGGACGGGUGAGUAAUGUCUGGGAAACUGCCUGAUGUAGGGGGAUAACUACUGGAAACGGUAGCUAAUACCGCAUACCAUCAGAUGUGCCCAGAUGGGAUUAGCUAGUUGGUGGGGUAACGGCUCACCAAGGCGACGAUCCCUAGCUGGUCUGAGAGGAUGACCAGGCACACUGGAAAUACGACACGGUCCAGACGCCUACGGGAGGAAGCAGUGGGGAAUAUUGCACAAUGGUCGCAAUCCUGAUGCAGUCAUGCCGCGUGUAGGAAGAAGGCGUUCGGGUUGUAAAGUACUUUCAGCGGGGAGGCGUUACCCACAGAAGAAGCACCGGCUAACUCCGUGCCAGAAGCCGCGGUAAUUC
rnacentral:rRNA from 1 species